rnacentral:misc_RNA from 1 species
AAAGUCGUAACAAGGUUUCCGUAGGUGAACCUGCGGAAGGAUCAUUAUCGAAUCCUUAGGAUGUUGCUGGCCUCUCGGGGCAUCGUGCACUCCGCCUUUUCAUCUCACCUGUGCACUUAUUGUAGGCCGGACUUGUAAUGAGUCUGUGUCUAUGUUUUUAAUACACACCUUUAUAAAAAGUCUAUAGAAUGUCUUUGUUAAGUAGACCUUUACUGGUCGAAAAAUAAAAUACAACUUUCAACAAUGGAUCUCUUGGUUCUC